rnacentral:rRNA from 1 species
GAACGCUGGCGGCGUGCCUAAUACAUGCAAGUAGAACGCUGAAGAGAGGAGCUUGCUCUUCUUGGAUGAGUUGCGAACGGGUGAGUAACGCGUAGGUAACCUGCCUUGUAGCGGGGGAUAACUAUUGGAAACGAUAGCUAAUACCGCAUAACAAUGGAUGACACAUGUCAUUUAUUUGAAAGGGGCAAUUGCUCCACUACAAGAUGGACCUGCGUUGUAUUAGCUAGUAGGUGAGGUAAUGGCUCACCUAGGCGACGAUACAUAGCCGACCUGAGAGGGUGAUCGGCCACACUGGGACUGAGACACGGCCCAGACUCCUACGGGAGGCAGCAGUAGGGAAUCUUCGGCAAUGGGGGCAACCCUGACCGAGCAACGCCGCGUGAGUGAAGAAGGUUUUCGGAUCGUAAAGCUCUGUUGUAAGUCAAGAACGGGUGUGAGAGUGGAAAGUUCACACUAUGACGGUAGCUUACCAGAAAGGGACGGCUAACUACGUGCCAGCAGCCGCGGUAAUACGUAGGUCCCGAGCGUUGUCCGGAUUUAUUGGGCGUAAAGCGAGCGCAGGCGGUUUGAUAAGUCUGAAGUUAAAGGCUGUGGCUCAACCAUAGUUCGCUUUGGAAACUGUCAAACUUGAGUGCAGAAGGGGAGAGUGGAAUUCCAUGUGUAGCGGUGAAAUGCGUAGAUAUAUGGAGGAACACCGGUGGCGAAAGCGGCUCUCUGGUCUGUAACUGACGCUGAGGCUCGAAAGCGUGGGGAGCGAACAGGAUUAGAUACCCUGGUAGUCCACGCCGUAAACGAUGAGUGCUAGGUGUUGGAUCCUUUCCGGGAUUCAGUGCCGCAGCUAACGCAUUAAGCACUCCGCCUGGGGAGUACGACCGCAAGGUUGAAACUCAAAGGAAUUGACGGGGGCCCGCACAAGCGGUGGAGCAUGUGGUUUAAUUCGAAGCAACGCGAAGAACCUUACCAGGUCUUGACAUCCCGAUGCUAUUUCUAGAGAUAGAAAGUUACUUCGGUACAUCGGUGACAGGUGGUGCAUGGUUGUCGUCAGCUCGUGUCGUGAGAUGUUGGGUUAAGUCCCGCAACGAGCGCAACCCCUAUUGUUAGUUGCCAUCAUUCAGUUGGGCACUCUAGCGAGACUGCCGGUAAUAAACCGGAGGAAGGUGGGGAUGACGUCAAAUCAUCAUGCCCCUUAUGACCUGGGCUACACACGUGCUACAAUGGUUGGUACAACGAGUUGCGAGUCGGUGACGGCGAGCUAAUCUCUUAAAGCCAAUCUCAGUUCGGAUUGUAGGUUGCAACUCGCCUACAUGAAGUCGGAAUCGCUAGUAAUCGCGGAUCAGCACGCCGCGGUGAACACGUUCCCGGGCCUUGUACACACCGCCCGUCACACCACGAGAGUUUGUAACACCCGAAGUCGGUGAGGUAACCUUUUGGAGCCAGCCGCCUAAGGUGGGACAGAUGAUUGGGGUGAA